rnacentral:rRNA from 1 species
UGAAUAGAUUAGCAUGGAAUAAUAAAAUAGGACGGCAUGGUUCUAUUUUGUUGGUUUCUAGGAUCACCGUAAUGAUUAAGUAGGGAUAGGUUCGGGGGCAUUAGUAUUCAAUUGUCAGAGGUGAAAUUCUUGGAUUUAUUGAAGACUAACUUCUGCGAAAGCAUUUGCCAAGGAUGUUUUCAUUUAAUCAAGAACAAAGUUAGGGAAUCGAAGACGAUCAGAUACCGUCGUAGUCUUAACCAUAAACUAUGCCGACUAGGGAUCGGACGAUGUAAUUUUUAAUGACUCG